UGGGGGAGGAGGAGAAGGGUACUUGUAUGGUGGAGGUGGAGGAGAUGGGUACUUGUAAGGAGGAGGAGGAGAUUUGUACUUGUAAACAGGUGGUGGAGGAGAUGGGUACUUGUAUGGUGGAGGUGGAGGAGAUGGGUACUUGUAAGGAGGAGGAGGAGAUUUGUACUUGUAAACAGGUGGUGGAGGAGAUGGAUACUUGUAUGGAGGGGGUGGAGGAGAAGGGUAUUUGUAGGGAGGUGGUGGUGACUUGUACUUGUAGACUGGAGGUGGUGGUGAUUUGUACUUGUAGACUGGAGGUGGUGGUGACUUGUACUUGUACACUGGUGGUGGGGGUGAUGGAUAUUUGUAAGGCUUCUUAGGAGGUGGUGGUGGUGACUUGUACUUGUAAACCGGAGGUGGUGGUGACUUGUACUUAUAAACUGGUGGUGGUGGAGAAGGGUAUUUGUAAGGCUUCUUAGGAGGUGGUGGAGGAGAUGAGUACUUAUAGGGUGGAGGUGGUGACUUAUUCUUGUAAAUUGGUGGUGGAGAAGAAG
rnacentral:lncRNA from 1 species